ensembl:snRNA U6 U6 spliceosomal RNA
GUGCUCCUUUCAGGAGCACAUAUAUUUAAAUGGCAACAAUACAAAGAUUUGCAUGGCCUGUACAAGAAUGACCCACAAAUUCAUGUAGCAUUCCAUAUUUUG